AUUGAACGCUGGCGGCAGGCUUAACACAUGCAAGUCGAGCGGAGAUGAGGUGCUUGCACCUUAUCUUAGCGGCGGACGGGUGAGUAAUGCUUAGGAAUCUGCCUAUUAGUGGGGGACAACAUUCCGAAAGGAAUGCUAAUACCGCAUACGUCCUACGGGAGAAAGCAGGGGAUCUUCGGACCUUGCGCUGAUAGAUGAGCCUAAGUCGGAUUAGCUAGUUGGUGGGGUAAAGGCCUACCAAGGCGACGAUCUGUAGCGGGUCUGAGAGGAUGAUCCGCCACACUGAGACUGAGACACGGCCCAGACUCCUACGGGAGGCAGCAGUGGGGAAUAUUGGACAAUGGGGGGAACCCUGAUCCAGCCAUGCCGCGUGUGUGAAGAAGGCCUUAUGGUUGUAAAGCACUUUAAGCGAGGAGGAGGCUACUGAGACUAAUACCCUUGGAUAGUGGACGUUACUCGCAGAAUAAGCACCGGCUAACUCUGUGCCAGCCGCCGCCGUAAAAC
rnacentral:rRNA from 1 species